UGGACCUUACCCAGGGUGUCACUUCUCUUCUCUUUUCAAUUGACUCUGUGCCAGUGUGGGAGUUAGAGCCAAUGUGUUUUGUAAAUCUCCAUGAUGGUGAUCAGUGUGUAAAACUGUUACCAGUCACUGUUUAUAAAAUGCCAGACAGUGUGUCAUUGAGACAGAAUUCAACUACAGUGAAAGAAGGUGAACAGUUUGCCAUACAGUGUGACAUUGUUAAUGUUGCACCAGCAAUAAAUCUCUCUAUGCUUUGGCACAAAGGAAAUAAGAUCUUAAAUUCUGAGACAUUUGAUGACUCCAGUCCAUCUCCCGUCAGUAAGUCAUCUGUCCUCACUCUGACUGCUCAUAGAGAUGAUGAUGGAGCUGAGAUCUGGUGUGAAGCAAAACUAAACUUGUGACCAGGAGAACAAGGUCCUGCCAUGAUGCGCUCAAUGUCGCAUAGUGUGACUGUACUCAGGGCUCGAACAACCUUUGGAGUCAUGCUGGCAAUAGGUGUGGCCAUUGGAGUUUUGCUCCUCAUUGCUGUUGCAUAUUAUGUGACACCCAAUGGCACAAUCUCUUUCCACAAUUGUGGCUAUCAACCAGGAACUCCCUCAGGAUGAGUAUAAGGUAAACCUUUAUCUUCUUAUAAAAAUGCACAUCUCUGCUAUUAUUAUUAUUUCUAAUUAUUUUAUUUGGUGUUUGGAGAAAACAUCUGUAACAUGUCUGUUGAUGGCCGACGGACAUGUCUGCUCUGCGUGCUCUGUGGGUGUUCUUCUGUUCAAAGCUGUAGCUUUAAAAAUGCACCUUAAAACACACAUGCAUCAACACUACA